UACGAAGGGGGCUAGCGUUGCUCGGAAUCACUGGGCGUAAAGCGCACGUAGGCGGAUUGUUAAGUCAGGGGUGAAAUCCUGGAGCUCAACUCCGGAACUGCCUUUGAUACUGGCGAUCUUGAGUCCGGGAGAGGUGAGUGGAACUGCGAGUGUAGAGGUGAAAUUCGUAGAUAUUCGCAAGAACACCAGUGGCGAAGGCGGCUCACUGGCCCGGUACUGACGCUGAGGUGCGAAAGCGUGGGGAGCAAACAGG
rnacentral:rRNA from 1 species